rnacentral:rRNA from 2 species
UUCUAUGACGUUAGCGGCGGACGGGUGAGUAACACGUGGGCAACCUGCCUGUAAGACUGGGAUAACUCCGGGAAACCGGAGCUAAUACCGGAUAACAUUUUUUCUUGCAUAAGAGAAAAUUGAAAGAUGGUUUCGGCUAUCACUUACAGAUGGGCCCGCGGUGCAUUAGCUAGUUGGUGAGGUAACGGCUCACCAAGGCAACGAUGCAUAGCCGACCUGAGAGGGUGAUCGGCCACACUGGGACUGAGACACGGCCCAGACUCCUACGGGAGGCAGCAGUAGGGAAUCUUCCGCAAUGGACGAAAGUCUGACGGAGCAACGCCGCGUGAGUGAUGAAGGCUUUCGGGUCGUAAAACUCUGUUGUUAGGGAAGAACAAGUACAAGAGUAACUGCUUGUACCUUGACGGUACCUAACCAGAAAGCCACGGCUAACUACGUGCCAGCAGCCGCGGUAAUACGUAGGUGGCAAGCGUUAUCCGGAAUUAUUGGGCGUAAAGCGCGCGCAGGCGGUUUCUUAAGUCUGAUGUGA